UCGGCAACGGAUAUCUCGGCUCUCGCAUCGAUGAAGAACGUAGCGAAA
rnacentral:rRNA from 1 species